UGGGGAAUAUUGCACAAUGGGCGCAAGCCUGAUGCAGCCAUGCCGCGUGUGUGAAGAAGGCCUUCGGGUUGUAAAGCACUUUCAGCGGGGAGGAAGGCGUUAAGGUUAAUAACCUUGGCGAUUGACGUUACCCGCAGAAGAAGCACCGGCUAACUCCGUGCCAGCAGCCGCGGUAAUACGGAGGGUGCAAGCGUUAAUCGGAAUUACUGGGCGUAAAGCGCACGCAGGCGGUUUGUUAAGUCAGAUGUGAAAUCCUCGGGCUCAACCUGGGAACUGCAUCUGAUACUGGCAAGCUUGAGUCUCGUAGAGGGGGGUAGAAUUCCAGGUGUAGCGGUGAAAUGCGUAGAGAUCUGGAGGAAUACCGGUGGCGAAGGCGGCCCCCUGGACAAAGACUGACGCUCAGGUGCGAAAGCGUGGGGAGCAAACAGG
rnacentral:rRNA from 1 species